ensembl:lncRNA
UGGACUUGCUGGCUUUAAUGUAAAAAGCCUGUUGUGUAACUUUAAUGAGGCAGUUGGACUAAAACAGUAUUGCUCAUCAAUAGGAAUAAGGAGGAAUAAGGAAACUGUUACUUGUCCUUUUACUCAGUGUUCUUUUAAUCGCACGUUUACUAAAGUUUUACAUCACAUAAGUCAUUUUCACAAUCAUUCUACUUUAAAAGAUUUCAAGACAGAGCUUAUUGUUCUCUGAACUUCCUUGUUUGCUGAAUGGCAGGUAAAGUGCAUCUUUUUGUUUGUUUGCUUUUGUGUGUUUGUGUUUUCUCUAAUGGGCCUCAGAUGACUGUUUGGUUAAAUUUGGGUCUCAAAGAAUCUUUUUUUUAUUCUGUCUGUACUCUCCACCCCUCUUCUUCUAUUGCUCAGGUUGAAGCAGAAUUUGCCCGUCUUACAUCUGUUGACCUGAAAGGGUUCCUUUUUGCUGUGCUUGACCAUUAUGGAGAGGUUCGUGGAGCUGUACAAAAUCAAGAGCGGCAUAGGAGGGCUAACUAGGCUCAUAAGAUGCUUCAAUGAUGAUAGCCCUACACAAAGGAAGAGGACAGAGGACCUCAUUUUCUAAAGGAAGAUCCCUCACACACUUUCAAGACUGUGAAGCCGACAGGUAUUGAAGACACGUUUUCUAAGAGGAUGAAAGUUGGCAUUGCGAUGGUGAAAGAAGAAGACAUCAUCGAUGUGUUGGUUGUCCUUGAGGCGGCAGUAAUCCUGUCUAAUCUGAGGAAUGUCUCAAGUGCCAUUUCC